GAUGAACGCUGGCGGUGUGCUUAACACAUGCAAGUCGAACGGCAACGCCCUGCUUUCGUGGGGUGAUCGAGUGGCGAACGGGUGCGUAUCACGUGUGUAACGUACUCUUGUUUUUCGGAUAAGUUAAGGAAACUGGAGUUACUCCCGUACAGCAGACCCCGUUCCAUGGAGGGGGUUGGAACGUCUCGGCGGUAGGGGUUGGACUAGCGGCUUAACAGCUAGUUGGUGGGGUAGUGGCUUACCCAACCUUUGGCUGAUCAGCGGCCUGUGAGGGUGACCGGCCACAUUGCGACUGAGAUACGGCCCAGUGUCCAACAGUAGACAGCAGUGGGAAAUCUUGCACAAUGGGCGGAAGCCUGAUACGGCAGCGCCGCGUGCGUAAUGACAGCUUUCUGGUAGAAAACCGCUUUCGCCUGAGACGAAGCGGGUGUGACGGUAAUGAAUGAAGAAGCACCGGCUAACUACGUG
rnacentral:rRNA from 1 species